rnacentral:rRNA from 1 species
CGGACAGUGUCUGGUGGGUAGUUUGACUGGGGCGGUCUCCUCCUAAAGAGUAACGGAGGAGCACGAAGGUUGGCUAAUCCUGGUCGGACAUCAGGAGGUUAGUGCAAUGGCAUAAGCCAGCUUGACUGCGAGCGUGACGGCGCGAGCAGGUGCGAAAGCAGGUCAUAGUGAUCCGGUGGUUCUGAAUGGAAGGGCCAUCGCUCAACGGAUAAAAGGUACUCCGGGGAUAACAGGCUGAUACCGCCCAAGAGUUCAUAUCGACGGCGGUGUUUGGCACCUCGAUGUCGGCUCAUCACAUCCUGGGGCUGAAGUAGGUCCCAAGGGUAUGGCUGUUCGCCAUUUAAAGUGGUACGCGAGCUGGGUUUAGAACGUCGUGAGACAGUUCGGUCCCUAUCUGCCGUGGGCGCUGGAGAACUGAGGGGGGCUGCUCCUAGUACGAGAGGACCGGAGUGGACGCAUCACUGGUGUUCGGGUUGUCAUGCCAAUGGCACUGCCCGGUAGCUAAAUGCGGAAGAGAUAAGUGCUGAAAGCAUCUAAGCACGAAACUUGCCCCGAGAUGAGUUCUCCCUGAGACUUAGAGUCUCCUGAAGGAACGUUGAAGACGACGACGUUGAUAGGCCGGGUGUGUAAGCGCAGCGAUGCGUUGAGCUAACCGGUACUAAUGAACCGUGAGGCUUAACCUUA